CCUUCCUCCCAUGUUUCUAUUUUCUCUCUGUCUCUUUAGUGUGUUGGCCAACACUCUCUCUUAAUCUGUCCUGUCCUUUCCUUGUGCCAUCUCCCUUCUUAGGACACAGGCAGGCCUGUGAGGUGUGCAUCUCCACAGGUUAGGUCUUGAAAGCCCUGGAGUAGUAGGAGGGGACGAAAACCAUGCGGGGUAGUGGGUGCGAGAGUGGAGCAGUGACUGUCAGUGUUGAAUCGGUCUCUGUUCAAGUGGGGCUGAUGUAGAUGGGUGGAAGAGGGAGGCAGGAUUGAGGGCAACAUUUCAAGCACCAUUAGAACUGUGUGUAGAGAUGGCGCAUGCUUGGCUUUUGCAGCUGCAUUUCCAGAGGAAUUGUCCAGGAGCUUGAGCCGGAGGAGAAACUGGCAGAGGUGGAUCUGAGCAGCUUGGACAUGGUUCUAACCAGACAGGAACAGUCCUCAGCUUUCUGCCUUCUGAACACCUGGCUGUGAGUAAGCGGUCAGUGCUUUCAAUUCCUUAUCUGUACUCGCUGUAGUUUACUUCACAGGCCUUGUGCUUCCUCCUUGGAAAGGACCCCUCUUCCUUGUGACGCAGUCCUGUUAGUAGGGUUAGGUGCACCCACGUGCUGGCUCCGAAUACCACCGCAUGUGAUUACAACACCUGAACAUCAACACAUUUCAGAAAGGACCGCCACAUCAAUCCCUUCGGACGUAGCCCUAGGAAUCUCCUCUGUCUAUCUCCAAAGAGAGACAAGGCCUGGAAUUUGGACACAGCUGAGGGAGCUGUCCGAAUCUCUACAGUUGAACACUCAUCAGUGCGACGGUGUCUUUCUUGUGCACAAGAAAACAAAGGGUCAAAGUUGUGGUUGGUUGAGCGGUGUAAAUUGGGCAGGGCAAAAGGACUUGCGGAAGGAUGAGGUGGAAGUGAGGGUGUGAAAGGAGCCCCCCACCUCACCUGUUCAUUUCUAGACGGUGUGACAUUUGCAUGGUUGGGCCAUUUCUUGGCUUUUUUGAGAAAAGGGGCGAAUUUUCCCAUGGCUUCCACCAUCCCCUUACAGCUGCCCCUUCGCCACACUAUGUUGCAUCUGACCUGGAUAGGUCGCAAGUAAGAUUUCACUUCAAAUCUCAAAGUCCAGUAGAAAUAAUUGUGGGGGAAUUUCCUGUCACUAAGAGAAACAGAAGCUCAAGCCUUCUCAAGGGGUGGGGUGUCGCUCAGCCACAGGCACAAAAAGGCUCCCCUAGUUUAAGCGUGCGAGGGAUAAGACGUUACAGCCUCGUUACAGGGCAGUCAUUUUGCCGGGCAUGUCAAAGUGACCUGUGGUUUAAUUUGCUUGGCAAAGGAGACCCAAACCUUCCUUACAGGGUGGUCCUUAAGCCAGGGGCGUUCGAAUGGGGCAGAGAG